CAACAGGCAGGACCCGCCCAAGCACCAAAACAGUUUUGCUUGGAAACCCAACGCCGGCGUCAAGAUCAACGAAACGGAAGUUGGGUUGUAAAGAACAGAUCGACUGGAAACGCCGUUACGGAAAGUAAAAGCGCCUUUCAAAAUCAGGAAGUUGGGUUUUAUGCGUUUCUGAAAAGAAGGCUUGGAUUUUUGCAUUUUGGAAGCUAAUUGAUGGGUUUGUGUAAUUUUGUUCUAGGCAGUUAAGAAUGCUGGAGAAAGGGAUCGAAGGUCUCUGCUACGUGCAAUGAACAAAGGUAAAUCUAAAAGUUCGGAGAAAACACCAACCGACAAAGAAGACAAGGUUGGGGAGAUAUUUUCCGCUACAUCACUGGUGAGGAAUAUGCUGAGCAAAGCAGGAAUGAUAAUGGUGAUGAUGACGACGAUAAAGAUGAGGACCUAAUUUUGAGUUGAGGGAUAUGAACAGUGUGUCAACAGAUGCUUAUAACUUUUCUCAAAAAAAAAAA